rnacentral:lncRNA from 1 species
GGCCUUGGAAGUCCUUCACAUUUGAAAGGUGUUUCUUUCCUGCCAGAUGGCUUUGGAAAACAACUACUGAUUCACACGUCACAUUACAGAGUUCACAUAUUAAAGGAACCAUUUUUUUGGGCUUAGGAGGCACAGCAGGUUUUCUUGAACCAUUGUGCAAUUUCAUCAGUUUACCCCCUCGCCCGCCUCUUAGCAUGCGCUUGAGUCCACGCCCUUGACCUUGAUCACGAUCCAUCAGCAGGUUUUCUUGAGCCAUUGUGCAAUUUCAUCAGUUUACCCCCUCGCCCGCCUCUUAGCAUGCGCUUGAGUCCACGCCCUUGACCUUGAUCACGAUCCAUCCCCAAAUCUCUUGCUAAUUCUUCCACCGAAGCUGCCUCUUCAACCUUUUGCUUCCCUGUUAUACUACCAUCUUCUAAAACAGCAUGAGACGGAAAAUUCUCUUGGGGCUGCGACUGUCUGUUUCCAGUUACUACCUCAAAAGGCAAAUGACCCUGUGGCAGCUGCCCAGCCCCCCCAACUUCAGGCUGGUAAUAAACAUUUGGCUUAAAGUUGAAAUUUGCUGUCUGGUGACCUUGCCCUCCAUCCAUCGGUUUGUUCAGUUUCUUU